CACGAUCCGCCCGGGGAGCAGGACGCUUCCCCUUAGUUUUGUUCCAAAGGGCCCCCCCGCGCCCCCGGCCCCGCUGCCGACCCCCGAAGCGCUCCGUGGAGCGGGCGACGGGCCGGCGCUUUGCUUGGCGGGGGUAGUGCUGCAGAAUGUAAAGGGCCAGAGAAAAAUAACCUGAAUUCAGUAGCAGAGGGGUUUGGCCAUGCUUAAUUUAGUAGAAGCCUGAGUUUUAACGGAACAGAAGCUAUCACAAUUAAUCCGUCCUGUGGUGUCCACUUGUACAGCUUAAGAAGCUUGCCCCGAAGUUCAGCAGGUGCCUCCUGCCGCGCGUUUGCAGCCCUUUGCUUGAAUGGAAAUGCAGGUGGAAGUCAGGAGCCAUAGCUGCUGUUACCCAUCAGGCUGCAUCUCUGGUUUGAACAGACCCCCGCAAGACUGACAGCUUAAUCCUGGCGUGCUCCUCCAAAGGGCGACUGCCUGCGCAGACAGCAUCUCCCGCUCGCCGCCCCCGUGCUCCGCAGGCUCCGUGGCAGCAGGAGCGCUCUGACGGUAGCAUAGCACUUGGCCUCUGCUGCUGCGACCUGCGAAGAGAGUUCUGCUGACAUGAUGCCCCUGCAGCUGUUGGGGACUGUACAGGGACAUUUAUGUGUGAGAUCAGGACCUCAGAUCACAGCCAGGAACUGAAGCAAGAGCUGAUGGCAAUCGUGAUACAACCUCAAUAAUGUGCUCACAUAGAACAAAGUGUGCAGCUGGAAAGCCUUCAGCAAUAGGUGGCCUUGGCCAUAACAGCUUCAACGCCAAACGGGUGGAACGUGGACCCGUUUCCAGGUGUAGAAUUGUUACCUGAAAAGGGUGGUGAAGAAGCUUGCUGUAGGGCAUAACAUAAUACUGACCUACCUGCAGAGCCAGCAGCAGUUUGGAAUGUGCAGGUGAGCUCCUGGUAACUCCGGUUUUAACCUGAGUGCCGAUAUACACAGGUACAGGGGUACUUCACAGAAUAACGGGGUCAAUUUUGCAUUCUUCGUAGAAACCCCUUUUUUAUUUCUUGCUCGAGGCUCUCUGUUUCCCCAUGGGCCCUACGGGAAGGCCUGACUGUGGCUCCUCUGCAGCCCCUCCUUGUCCGAGUCCCGGGAUCUUGCCUCGUUACUCGGAGGGAUCUGAAAGGAUCUCGUGGGGUCCAGAAGCAGGACAACAAAAGAGGCCUUGGUCACCUCUGUGAUACAGCUACAAAACCUGCUCUGCUUCCCUUGUGCUUGCUGUUCAGCAGAGGUCUGGUGGGUUUGAUGUUCAGGUAGAAGGACUGGCUGGAGUUCAUCCUGUAGAUGUUGGAUGAGCUGCUGGGGUUGGUAGGUCUGGAAGGGAUGAGGCCAACGCAUGGAUCAUCUCUUUGUUUCUUGACAGUCCAGCCCAACCAGCAGAGUAGGUUGCUUGCAGUAACCAGGUUUUGGCAGCGGCAGUGUGGAUUCCCUCAGCAGAGGAGAGAGUCAUGGUCUUGGCUUGCUCUGCUAAGUGUUACCAUAUUUCUUCUUACUUCCAUUUCCUCUGGGCUGAGUUUCAGCUCAGCUUUCUUCCUCCAGAUGCUCAUAUCUGACAGACAUCUCGUUACUUGUGAUGAAGUUCAUUGAACCAGAUGAGAAGACAGUGUGUAUUCAAACACCCAUGUCAACUUGGUGGCAUCGGAGAUUUAGUCCCGGAUCCUGAGAAAGAGGAGGAGCAGGGUAUUGCAGUGGUUCACACGUUUCUGGACAGUAAAAAUCACCUUCUGUUCCCUGCAGUCUGUCAAAAGGAAAGUGAACUGAACCAUCCCCUUCAGCUGUGUCUUCUGUGGGAAUAAGUAAUAUGCAAGGUGCUGAAAAGCCCAGGUCAGGUCCUGUUUAGCUCUGAGAACUGCCUGUCCUCAGCCGUGAAUCGCUCACAGGAUUCAGCAAAGGUGAUUAAAGGAUCCUUCACCCUUUGGUGUAAGCAGCGUGGCAUGCAACUGGAGUACGCUAAUACAUAGGAAUAAUAUAAAUUAUUAGUGCCAAGUCCUGAAAUGUGGACGUCCUGGUUAGAUGCUCAGUUCAGCUCCAAUAGACACGUGACUGCCCAAGUUAUCGGUUUACCCACAUAACGUGAAUUUCCCGAGUACCUGGUCAGAGGGCCAGCAUUGGGCUCCCUCUGUGUGUUCCUCCCUAAACCUGAGGAGUUCCCUGGAUUCAAAAUGCUUGACAGCAUAUGCAAAACUGCGAGAGCUCAAACGGAUUCGAAGCAUUGGUCACACAAAUGGCUAGUGUUUGCUAUUCUGGACGUUAAUUUCAUAAAAUUAAUCUAACACAUCUUGAGGGAAAUUAGUGCAUGCAGAUGCUAUCGUUUAUCACAAUUAUUUUAAAAGCCCUAAUCUAGCACUUCAUCGAAUUCUUCACAUCCACUUGCAUGUCAAGCGCUGCAGGAGAGUGUCUUUGCCCAUGGAAGCAUUGCAUCCUUUCACCUGGCCAGCUCUGAGGGGGGGUGGCCGGGCAGAGAGUGGCUGGGGGGGUGUGGGGGCAGCAGGGCUCAGCCCCCCUCCCACCCCAGGAGAGGUGGUGGUGUCACCAGGGAGGGGAAUGUCACCCACCCCAUGUGAACUAUGGAAACCUCAUUACUGUGUACAUGCAGUUCCUCUCUUUUCAGGAUGACGCUGGAGGUACCUGUCUUGUCGUCUCUCUUAAUGCUAUAGCGAGCGCCUUCAGUGCAGUUCUGGCUGCACCUGUAAGCCGUGAAUUUCUUUAAAACCCGGGCAGGGAACACGCUCCUGGUCCCAGCACAGUUUUCUAAGUUCCAACAAUGUUGUUAGCCCAAAUUGGGGCAAAAAAUGCCCAAAUUUCGUAUGAAAUAACAAACUGAAGGGAAAAAAGUUGAAAGCUAUCAAAAUGUUCCUUUACUGAUCCUGUAGCACUUAAUUUGAAUUUUGACUUUUAGGGAAAAUAAUCUAUAACUAAAUAUGUCUUAAAAAGCUGUUAGUUUGAAAAAGGUGAAAGCAUCAGUUAUCCCUGAAAGAACAAAAAAUACAGACAGGACACUAC